UACUGAAAUACUAUGAAUUUCGAUCCCCCCAUUUCAAACUUCCGGUCCAAAAAAAACGGUUCCGUUCCUGUUUUGGGACCAUAUCGGCUCCGGUCCGGGUCCCUGCUUUGCCCUAAACAUUAUGUCCAAACCUAAGCACCCCGCAUCUCAAGAAUUUAUGGGUGAGGAGUGCCACGAGAUUCAGCUGAUCCGAAAAAUUCUGGAUAUUUUUAUAAAAUGUCGAAUCACCAUCACUCUUCACUUCUUAGCAUGGAAAACCAGCAUGGAAAUGCUGCAACAGUAAGGCAAAAAAUUACAAAACUCAUAUUAUUUAACAAUUCUUAAAAUUUAAAUAAAAAAGUGUAAGUUUAGAAGCUUUUUGUUAAACUGUAUAUUUUUUACUAUAUAAAUAAAGUAUUUUAUACCUA